UACGUAGGAGGCAAGCGUUGUCCGGAGUUACUGGGCGUAAAGCGCGUGUAGGCGGUUGUUUCAGGUCAGGUGUGAAAGCCUUGAGCUCAACUCAAGAAAUGCACUUGAUACUGGAUGACUAGAGGACCGGAGAGGAUAGUGGAAUUCCCAGUGUAGUGGUGAAAUACGUAGAGAUUGGGAAGAACACCAGUGGCGAAGGCGGCUAUCUGGACGGUU
rnacentral:rRNA from 1 species